GAUGAAGAACGUAGUGAAAUGCGAUAAGUAAUGCGAAUUGCAGAAUUCAGUGAGUCAUCGAAUCUUUGAACGCACAUUGCGCCCUGUGGUAUUCCGCAGGGCAUGCCUGUUCGAGCGUCAUUUCAACCCUCAAGCUCUGCUUGGUGUUGGGCCCUGCCCGCUGCGGCCGGCCCUAAAGACAGUGGCGGUGCCGCCUGGCCCUGAGCGUAGUACAUCUCUCGCUCCAGUGCCCGGUGGUAGCCUGCCAGAACCCCAACUCUCGUGGUUGACCUCGGAUCAGGUAGGGAUACCCGCUGAACUUAAGCAUAUCAAUAAGCGGAGGA
rnacentral:misc_RNA from 1 species